AUGGAGGCUGACCAAUGGUGGAGCCCCGGCACACCAAACAGCAAUAUCGCCCCUGGUGAGCUUGCCGAGAGCCGGGGGAUGCCCGUUGUGCAAUUGUGGUUUGGCCAAUCCACCUCCAAUUACAACUACGUCCUUGAGUCCCGGUACGAGAUUCUAUGGGUGUCUAUUAACACCCGGGAACAUGACAGGUAUCUCAUAGGGACAAACCCCUACCUUGUCAAAGUUAAGGUGUCAGUGCAGGCACUUGAGGAGCCUCUGUUGUCACAAUCCUCGCCAUUGGAGAAGAUGAGAUGGGUGAGAAAGGAUGGCCGUAGUCUGGCCGACCGCGUGUUGUUCCUCGGUACACGCCAUAGCUUUGUUGUGGAUGCGGGGCGGGUGCCCAAUGGAAAUGGCGGGUGUGCCUACUUCGUGUACCACAAUAAUAAUGCCUUUACAUAUGGGAGGCAUGCCGUGUUCAGGUGCAACCUCAUCAAUGGCAGAGCUGAGCUUGAAAUCAGUGAGGAGUCACCAAAGCAGCAACAGCAAAUAGCUCCAAGAAUUUCUAGUCCACCAAGACACACCAUUCACAUCGAGAGACAUCGUGUGCCUAGUUUUAAGGUGCUGGUGCGCAAUCUUCCUCUCACGGUGAAGAACACUCAGCUACGGCUCUUCUUCAGCGAGCACGGUAAAGUCCUCAUUCGCAUACAAAUCACCAGGGAGAAGGAGAAUGACAGCACAGGAUCAGCCAUUCAGACGGCGAGGGAGGGCACGCCGUCGCCAAAUCACCAGCGGCCCCGGAUUGCCAUGACCUCCCAGCCCACUGUCAAAGAAGACCCCUGUCUCCUCGCCUGGCUCGAAGGCGCCAAACCGUUGACAGUGUAG
rnacentral:rRNA from 1 species